rnacentral:snRNA from 1 species
GUGCUCGCUUCAGCAGCAUAUACACUAAAAUUGGGACGAUAUAGAGAAGAUUAGCAUGGCCCCUGUGCAUGGAUGACAUGCAAAUUCAUGAAGAGUUCCAUAUUUUU